CGAAAGCCUGACGGAGCCAGACCGCGUGAGGGAAGAAGGCUCUAGGGUUGUAAACCUCUUUUAUCAGGGAAGAAGAAAGUGACGGUACCUGAAGAAAAAGCCUCGGCUAACUCCGUGCCAGCAGCCGCGGUAAGACGGAGGAGGCAAGCGUUAUCCGGAAUGAUUGGGCGUAAAGCGUCCGCAGGUGGCGAUGUAAGUCUGCUGUUAAAGAGUGAGGCUCAACCUCAUAAGAGCAGUGGAAACUACAUGGCUAGAGUACGGUCGGGGUAGAAGGAAUUCCUGGUGUAGCGGUGAAAUGCGUAGAGAUCAGGAAGAACACCGGUGGCGAAAGCGUUCUGCUAGGCCUGUACUGACACUGAGGGACGAAAGCUAGGGGAGCG
rnacentral:rRNA from 1 species